AUCUCGAGAUAUCUUCCCACUCCAUAAGCCAAUACUUAGUGACUUAGAAACUACCACUUCCAUUCUUCAGUUUCCUUGAUAUUGAGCAUGGAAGAUGGGUGUGUUACUACAUGUGUGCCUGGACAUGGGAGUACCUCAGAACUUCAAAGAGGGGUGAGAAGAAGAUAGAAAAAGGGUAAUAAGGCAGUAAUGAGCUAUAAUCACCCUAAAGUUGAUAAUUGUUCGGUUCCUGACUACAGGAACCCUACAAGUACAGAAUAAAACAUAGUUCCAGCUUUGUAAAAUGUGGAGACUGGGGAGCAGUGACUAGAAAAGAUUGUGCUACAUCGGGACUUCCCUGGUGGCGCAGGGGACACGGGUUGGAGCCCUGCUCUGGGAAGACCCCACGUGCUGCGGAGCAGCAAAGCCUGUGCGCCACAACUACUGAGCCCACGUGCCACAACCACUGAAGCCCAAGCACCUAGAGCCCAUGCCCCGCAACGAGAGAAGCCACCGCAAUGAGAAGCCCACGCACCUCAAGGAAGAGUAGCCCCAGCUCACCGCAACUAGAGAAAGCCCACGCGCAGCAACAAAGACCCAAUGCAGCCAAAAAUAAAUAAAUAAAUUUAUAAAAAAUAAAAAAAGA